GAUGAAGAACGUAGCGAAAUGCGUUAAGUAAUGUGAAUUGCAGAAUUCAGUGAAUCAUCGAAUCUUUGAACGCACCUUGCGCUCCUUGGUAUUCCGAGGAGCAUGCCUGUUUGAGUGUCAUUAAAUUCUCAACCAUUAUCAACUUUUGCUGAUAAUGGCUUGGAUGUGGGGGUCUAUUUUGCUGGCUUCUCAGAUAGUCAGCUCCCCUUAAAUGCAUUAGCCGGUGCCCCGCGUGGACUGUCUAUUGGUGUGAUAAUUAUCUACGCUAUGGACAUCUGCAAUCAUAUGGGUUUGCGCUGCUUCUAACAGUCUGUUGAUUCAGACAAUACAUGACAAUUUGACCUCAAAUCAGGUAGGACUACCCGCUGAACUUAAGCAUAUCAAUAAGCGGAGGA
rnacentral:misc_RNA from 1 species